rnacentral:rRNA from 1 species
GACGAACGCUGGCGGCGUGCUUAACACAUGCAAGUCGAACGGAAAGGCCCUGCUUUUGUGGGGUGCUCGAUUGGCGCACGGGUGAGUAACACGUGAGUAACCUGCCCUUGUCUUUGGGAUAACUUCAGGAAACUGGGGCUAAUACCGGAUAGGAGCUCCUGCUGCAUGGUGGGGGUUGGAAAGUUUCGGCGGUUGGGGAUGGACUCGCGGCUUCUCCGCUUGUUUGUGGGGUAGUGGCUUUCCAAGGCUUUGACGGGUAGCCUGCCUGAGAGGGUGACCGGCCACAUGGGGACUGAGGGACGGACCAGACUGCUACGGGAGGCAGCAGUGGGGAAUAUUGCAGAAUGGGCGGAAGCCUGAUGCAGCAACGCCGCGUGCGGGAUGACGGCUUUCGGGUUGUAAACCGCUUUCGCAUGUGACGAAGCGUGAGUGACGGUAAUGGGUAAAGAAGCACCGGCUAACUACGUG